GUGGGGAAUAUUGGACAAUGGGCGAAAGCCUGAUCCAGCAAUGCCGCGUGAGUGAUGAAGGCCUUAGGGUUGUAAAGCUCUUUUACCAGGGAUGAUAAUGACAGUACCUGGAGAAUAAGCUCCGGCUAACUCCGUGCCAGCAGCCGCGGUAAUACGGAGGGAGCUAGCGUUGUUCGGAAUUACUGGGCGUAAAGCGCACGUAGGCGGUUACUCAAGUCAGAGGUGAAAGCCCGGGGCUCAACCCCGGAACUGCCUUUGAAACUAGGUAACUAGAAUCUUGGAGAGGUCAGUGGAAUUCCGAGUGUAGAGGUGAAAUUCGUAGAUAUUCGGAAGAACACCAGUGGCGAAGGCGACUGACUGGACAAGUAUUGACGCUGAGGUGCGAAAGCGUGGGGAGCAAACAGGAUUAGAUACCCGUGUAGUCC
rnacentral:rRNA from 1 species